GACGAACGCUGGCGGCGUGCUUAACACAUGCAAGUCGAGCGGUAAGGCUCCUUCGGGAGUACACGAGCGGCGAACGGGUGAGUAACACGUGAGUAAUCUGCCCUUCACUUCGGGAUAACCACCGGAAACGGUGGCUAAUACCGAAUACGACCAGUCUUCGCAUGAGGUGCUGGUGGAAAGUCUUUUCGGUGAAGGAUGUGCUCGCGGCCUAUCAGCUUGUUGGUGGGGGAAUGGCCUACCAAGGCUUCGACGGGUAGCCGGCCUGAGAGGGUGACCGGCCACACUGGGACUGAGACACGGCCCAGACUCCUACGGGAGGCAGCAGUGGGGAAUAUUGGACAAUGGGCGAAAGCCUGCUCCAGCAACGCCGCGUGAGGGAUGACGGCCUUCGGGUUGUAAACCUCUUUCAGUACCGACGAAGCGCCCUGUCGGGUGGUGACGGUAGGUACAGAAGAAGGACCGGCCAACUACGUG
rnacentral:rRNA from 1 species